ACUUAGCCCCGAUGGAAGGGAAAAUCCUUUUUGUUCUUUCUUUAAGAACAAAAAGAUUGGAAUGACAGCGGGAACGAUA
rnacentral:sRNA from 1 species